UUCUUAUCCAGAGAGGUGGAGGGACUGGCCCGAUGAAACCCAGCAACCGCGAUGCAGGUGCUAAUUCCAGCAGAACAAAUUUGUUCUGGGAGAUAAGAC
rnacentral:ncRNA from 15 species